UACGUAGGCAGCGAGCGUUGUUCGGAGUUACUGGGCGUAAAGGGUGUGUAGGCGGUUGUUUUAGUUUGGUGUGAAAUCUCCCGGCUCAACUGGGAGGGUGCGCCGAAUACUGAAUGACUUGGAGUGCGGGAGAGGAGAGUGGAAUUCCUGGUGUAGCGGUGAAAUGCGUAGAUAUCAGGAGGAACACCGGUGGCGUAGACGGCUCUCUGGACCGUAACUGACGCUGAGACACGAAAGCGUGGGUAGCAAACAGG
rnacentral:rRNA from 1 species